GAUGAACGCUGGCGGCAGGCCUAACACAUGCAAGUCGAACGGAUCCUUCGGGAUUAGUGGCGGACGGGUGAGUAACGCGUGGGAACAUACCCUUUGGUACGGAAUAGCCUCGGGAAACUGGGAGUAAUACCGUAUGUGGUCGAGAGACGAAAGAUUUAUCGCCAAAGGAUUGGCCCGCGUUGGAUUAGGUAGUUGGUGGGGUAAUGGCCUACCAAGCCGACGAUCCAUAGCUGGUUUGAGAGGAUGAUCAGCCACACUGGGACUGAGACACGGCCCAGACUCCUACGGGAGGCAGCAGUGGGGAAUCUUAGACAAUGGGGGAAACCCUGAUCUAGCCAUGCCGCGUGAUCGAUGAAGGCCUUAGGGUUGUAAAGAUCUUUCAGGGGGGAAGAUAAUGACUGUACCACCAGAAGAAGCCCCGGCUAACUCCGUGCCAGCAGCCGCGGUAA
rnacentral:rRNA from 1 species